AGUUCAAAAAAGGAAGUACACUCUGCGGGACUAACUUGCACAUUCAUUGUCCAAGUUACAGCAUCUUCUGGGCCACUGUAUGCCAGGCACAUCAACUCUUCGCAAGAGAAAUGGUGAGUGGGGGCUCAGCAUGAGGUGCAUUGUCCAGGAAUCAAACCCUGGCGGGAGGCAAGAGUUCUACCACCGAAUCGCCACUGCCUCUGCUGAAGCCCCAGGGAGAGAAAUGCCCGGUGGUGGAGGAAAUGGUAGACCUGAUACUCUCUGCAGCCCUGCCGGCAGAGGACGGAAGUCACAGGUUGAGGAUGGAAAAGCAGAUGUGAAGUCUCUCAUGGCGAAGUUUAACACAGGGGGCAACCCCACAGAGGAAGUCUCAGUCAACAGCCGACCCUUCAAAGUCACAGGGCAAAAUCCAUCUUCAGGAAUACAAGCAAAAAAGAACUUAUUCGACAACCAAGGAAAUGCCAGCCCUCCCACAGGACCCAGCAAUGUACCUAAAUUUGGGUCCCCAAAGCCACCUUUGGGAGUGAAACCUUCUUCUGAGGAAAAGCCUGACAAGGAGCCCAAACCCCCAUUUCUAAAGCCUUCUCCUGGAGUCAACCAAAGGUUUGGGGCACCGGCAAACUCACCAAACAGAGAUUCUGAGGUGAAAAUGGGAUUUCCGAAACCUAUAGGCUCCAAACCCAUCAACUUGCCCAAAGAAGAUUCUAAACCUGUGUUUCCCCGGCCUUCUGGGAAUAAGCCACUGCCUCAUAAUGUUAACCAAGACAGCGACUUAAAGCCACCGGGCCCAAAGCCCAGGUCUAAUCCUCCAGCCCAGGAAAAUGAACAGAAACAAGUUUCCACAAAGUUGGCUGGGGUUAAAGGCAAGUUUAUGUCAGCUUCUCAAGAUCACGACCCCAAACCCCUCUUCCCCAAACCUGCUUUUGGCCAGAAGCCAUCCCUGAGUACUGAUGCCUCCCAUGAAGAUGAGAACCUCACUAAAAAUGUGUCUUCACAGAAAGGACCCUUAGCUCCCCUAGGAACCAAAUCUAAACCUGGCCCUUUAAAACCAGCAAGGGAAGACACAGAAAAUAAAGAUCAAGUUGGUGAUACAUCAAGUUCACCUUUCCCUGGAGUGGUUCUGAAACCAGCAGCAAGCAGAGGGGCUCCCAGCCUCACCAAAAAUGCUGAAGAAAAAAAAGAAGAGAGGAAAAUAGAUGCUGCCAAGAACAUCUUCCUGAGCAAAAUAAAUCAGGAGGAGUCAGCCCUCGGGGCUCCACCGGCCAAGUUCCCUAAGGGACCUUCUAAGCUGACAGUGGGAGGACCAUGGGCCCAAAGCCCAGAGGAAAAGGGAGACAAGAAUCCAGCCGUCCCCAAACGGAAGCCAUUGCCUCCCUUAUUUACGUUGGGACCCCCUCCACCAAAACCCAGCAGACCACCAAAUGUUGACCUGUCGAAAUAUCGAAAAACUCCUUCUGGAAACAGUACCAGCAAAGGCCUAACAUCUUACUCAACAAGUUCCCUACCACCACCUCCACCACCCCAUCCAGCCAGCCAACCACCAUUGCCAGUAUCUCAUCCAACACAGUCAGCAGUCCCAAGUCUACCUCCCAGAAACAUUAAACCUGCCUUUGAUCCAAAAAGCCCCGCAAGUGAAGAAAAUCAAGAUGGUGGCAUGCACUCUGAUGGUACUGGAAAUCUAGAUGAGGAACAAGAGAGUGAAGGAGAAACAUAUGAAGACAUAGAAACAUCCAAGGAACGAGAGAAGAAGAGAGAAAAGGAGGAGAAGAAGCGAUUAGAGUUAGAGAAAAAGGAACAGAAGGAGAAAGAAAAGAAAGAACAAGAAAUAAGGAAGAAAUUUAAACUAACAGGUCCGAUUCAAGUCAUCCAUCACGCAAAGGCUUGCUGUGAUGUCAAAGGAGGAAAGAAUGAACUGAGCUUCAAGCAAGGAGAACAAAUUGAAAUAAUCCGUAUCACAGACAAUCCUGAAGGAAAGUGGUUGGGCAGAACAGCAAGAGGAUCAUACGGCUAUAUUAAAACAACUGCUGUGGAAAUUGACUACGAUUCCUUGAAACGGAAAAAAACCUCCCUCGGUGCUAUCUCAUCGAGGCCUGUUGACCGUGACCAAGAAGUGUAUGAUGAUGUUGCAGACCAGGAUAAUGUUAGCAGCCAUAGUCAGAGUGGAAGUGGAGGGCUAUUCCCACCUCCACCAGAUGACGAUAUUUACGAUGGAAUUGAAGAGGAAGAAGUUGAUGAUGGCUCCACACUACAGGUUGAAGAGAAGAGUAACUCCUGGUCCUGGGGGAUUUUGAAGAAGUUAAAGGGGAAAGAUGACAAAAAGAAAAGUAUACGAGAGAAAUCAGAAGUCUCUGAUUCAGACAAUAAUGAAGGUUCAUCUUUUCCUUCUCCCCCUACACAGUUAGACAUGGGUGAGGAAGUUUACGAUGAUGUGGAUGCUUCCGACUUCCCUCCUCCAUCAACAGAGACCAGUCAAGGAGUCAACAUUGGAAAGGCAAAGACAGAAGAAAAAGAUCCUAAGAAGCUGAAAAAGCAGGAAAAAGAAGAAAAAGACUUCAGGAAAAAAUUUAAAUAUGAAGGUGAAAUUAGAGUCCUAUAUUCAACCAAAAUUGCACCCUCCUUCACUUCUAAAAAGUGGGGGACCAGAGAUCUACAGGUGAAGCCUGGCGAGUCUCUUGAAGUUAUACAAAAUACAGAUGAUACAAAAGUUCUCUGCAGGAAUGAAGAAGGAAAAUAUGGUUAUGUCCUUCGGAGUUACUUGGUGGACACUGAUGGAGAGAUCUAUGAUGACAUUGCUGACGGUUGCAUCUAUGACAAUGAUUAGCACUCAUAUUUGAUCAUUCUACUAUGUUCAUUAUGUGCCAAAUGAAGUCUGAGUCUUGACUGGCAUAUUAUUGGGUAUCAUAGAAAAUGAAUGCCCAAAUCUACUUAUUACCAUUUGUUUUUAAAUUCAAAUUAUAAAGUUUUGAAAUUUUGGACCUGGAAAGUGAUCUCUCUGCUUAAUAAACAUCUCAGAAGACUGCAUUAAUGAAAUAUAAGAGUUAUUAAAUAACCCAUUUCUGCCUUGGCUACAAUUAUGAAGGUACUUCUUUUGGGCCAUCAAUUGAUAAUUUCCCAACCCUCCUUAAACCAAGAGGAAAUCAUCUGAGAAACAAUGAUUGUCCUGUCUAAAGAAAUAUAUGGAAGAAAUAUAAGAAGAAAAUUUUAAAACAUUCCGCAAGAAGGAAAGCUAUUAUUUAUACCUCUAAUUACAGUAGUAUCUGAUUUCUCUAUUAUAUGGAUCAUCAACCUUUAAAAAGAUGGUUAAGCGCUUGGCUGCACACUAAAAAGCUGGUGGUUUGAGUCCACUCAGAGGCACCUCAGAAGAAAGACCUGGUGAUCUCCUUCCAAAAAUCAGCCACUGAAAACCUUAUGGAGCACAUUUCUAUUCUAACACACAGGAGAUCCCUAGGCAUUGGGAGAGAAACAGUUCUGUCCUAUAAGAACCACCAUAGUGCCAACAUCAUGAUUAAUGGCCAGUGAUAUUCAGGCUUUGUGUGGGGAUCUAUAGGCAAUGCUGAGGACUGUGUCAAACUGUAGAAGAUAAGCUCUGUCUACAGGGUGAGUUACUUGUUCUGUAUAUCUUCUGUUUGCCUCCCCCACAGAACCUCACUCCAUCCUUCUCAAUCCUGCUCUGUGCCCCUCAAUACUCACCUUUUUGGACUGCAUCAAGAAGCUCCCAUGGCUUCUAGCUUCUGGUUUAAUUUGGCCAAUACAGAACACUAGCAGGAAAUCAGAGGAAUGAAGGGUGAAGUUGAGAUACUUACUCCUCCAGCUUCCUCCCUGAGGGCUUGCCGUGGGCUGGCUGUGUUCUUCAUCCAAAAGUCACAGCUCUGUCACACGGGCUUUUCCCCAUUGUGCCCACUCUCUGAGUCCUAGUACUGCUCCCUUCCCUGGCUCCUUCAGGACUAUAGCCACUCCCUGAGGUAUCAGCUCCUGAGUUCCUGCAUAUUGUUCUUUCCCUUGUGGUUUCCCUACAUAUUGUCCACAUAUUUGUAAACAAUCCCUUUAUUAAACCUUCCCCAAAUUGCUAAAUUUGAAUUGGCCAUUUGUUUGCCACUUCAGCCCUGCUGAUAUAUGAUAACUCCAGUGGGUUGUGAGCCUAUAGACAGAUUCUCUAUGUUUUCAAGAGAACCUGGAUAUCAAGGUUGAUUUAUUAAAUCCUCACUUUUUAAAAUAUAAAUUAAAUUGUUCUUAAAUGUACAAUUUGGGCCAAACAAAAUAAACCUGUGUGCCAGAUUUGGCCCAUGCUGUCAGUCUACAAACUCUGUCAUUUAUGAAGAGAAAUAAACCAGAAUAGGCACUAGCCAUGUUGUAGCUAUCCAACUCUGCCAAUAUCUGGGGACCUUUUCAAAUGGGUAAAUGAUGGACAAAAUUUAUUCAGUGUCUAUAAGAGCCAGCCACCAUCCAUCUAUCAGUUUGUCAUACUGUGGUGCCUUGUGUGUUGCUUUGAUGUUGGAAACUAUGCCACCAGUAUUUCAAAUGCCAGCAGGAUCACGUAUAGUAGACAGAUUUCGAUAGAUCUUCCAGAUGUAAGAUUGAGAAGAAAGGCCUGGCGAUAUACUUCCGAAAAUUAGCCAAUGAAAACUCUAUGGAUUACAGCAGAAUAUCGUCUAACAUAGUGCUGGAAGAUGAGCCCCCUAUGUUGAAAGGCACUCAGAAUAUGCAAUACCAACAAUCACGAAGAUGGCACUGAACCAGGCAACAUGUCAUUCUGUUGCACAUGGGGCCGCCAUGAGUCAGAGCCAGCUCAAUGAUAACUAACUUUGAGAGCUAGAUUCUAUCUCAGUUUUACUAUUGAGACAUUUAAUAGGAAUACGGUAAUGAAAAAUUAAUGAUCCUAGGAGGAGCCAACAUGGCACCAUAAACAGAAGCACCAUGCUAUCCCUCCACAGCAAAGACCCAAAAAACUAAGUAAAACAGAGAUAAAUGAAGUCCUGGAACCCUAAGUGUCAAAUGAAGGGUUAAAGAACUCAACCAAGCACCGAAUGGAAUAGGAAACUGACAGAGAACAGAGAGAGAGGAGCGAUACAGAGGUCCCAUAUCAGCUAAUGCAGUGAGGAUUCACCAUUUUGGAGCCUUUAAUCACCAAGAUCAGCAGACAGGGAGUAUGGGAAGGCAGCUUCACAGAGCUCCAUGCAGGAAACAGAACACCUGGAAACCAGUGAUACAUGCUUUCCCAUUCCCCACCAUUCUUCCCUCUGCUCAGCCUCUGCCACUUCCCAGUGGGCCACAAUUGCUUGGCCAGGGAGAUGCUGGCUCCUUGCCUCUUGGAUUCACCCUGCCCACAAUGGCUGGUUCCUUCAGUGCCAUUUUUUGGUUGCCAUUGUUGCUUUUUUUGGCUUCAUUUUGUUUCUUCUCUCUCUCCCACCUCUGUCCUUGCCUUUCUCUUGAACACCUGGCUCCGUGUGCCAUAUUCACUACUUAUUGACAGGCUGUAAAUCACCGCUCAGCUGGAGAACCACUUCCCUGGUCCACACCACCAUGUCAAUGAGCUCCCUGGGGGGAUUUUUUUGUUUGUUUUAUUUUUUCCUUUUUUGUAUUUCUUGAUUUCUAUUUCUUGUCUCUAUCUUCCUUCUUUUCUGUCUCCUGAAUACCUAGCUCUGUGUACCAUCUCUGCUCCUUCUAGAUGGGCUGUGCAGUGCUGCUCAGCUUGGGAGCCAUUUCUCUGGUCUGCACCACCACGCCAGUGGUCUCCCUUGAGGAUUUUUUUUCCUUCUUUCCUGUCUUGGUUUCUUGUCUCUCUCUACCGUCCUUCCCUUCUUUUCUCCUGAACACCUGGUGUCAUGUGCCAUCUCUGGUCCUUCUAGAUAAGCUGUGCAGUGCCACUCAGUUGAGGAACAACUUUCCUGGUCCCUGCCACCACACCAGUGUGCUUCCUGGGGGCAUUUUUUUCUCUUCUCUUCUUGUUUUCUUGUCUCUCUCCACCUUCCUUCUUUUCUGUCUCCUGAAUACCUGGUGCUAUGUGCCAUCUCUGCUCCUUCUUGACAGGCUGUGCAGUGCCACUGGCCUAGGGACCCAUUUCCAGUGGGCUGCCUUGGGGUAUUUUCUGUCUUUCUUUUUUUCUUGGCUUCCUGUCUCUCUCUAUUUUCCUUCCUUUCCUUCUUCCCCACCACCUGGCAUCUUUUCUUUUUCCCAGUUUCUGUCCCUCUUUACAUUCCUUCCAUUCCUUUCUCCAACCACUUGGCCACAUGUGCCUUUCUCUUUUUUUUAAUCUAGUAUCUUAUCUCUCUCCCUUCCUUCCUUUCCUUACUCUUGCCCACCUAGCUGUGUGUGCCAUGUCUGUCCCUUCUUGAUGGGCUGUGUCUCACCACCCAACUAGAAAGCCACUGGCACACAGUUUACCAGGGUCUGUUCCACUCCAACAGCAUGCUCCCUCAGCAAUUUUUCUUUUUUAUUUGGCCCCUGACUCUCUCUCCCCUUUCUCUUCUUCCCCACACCAACUUACCUCCACACAUCACAACCUCUCCUCUUCCUCCUGCCUAUCUGCACUGUGCACAGAACAUCACACUCCCGAGCAGCACAGGUACAGUUGACCGGAACCUGCCAUGCACUGACCCACAGUUUGUGUCCCAGUACGUGCCACAAAAGACCCAUCCCAGCCCCUUCUGCUCCAUUGGACCUCCCCUGCUGCACCAUAGCUGAGCAACUGGCCCUGCCCAUUGGACAAGGUGAUGAGAAGUAUCAUGCCCAUGGACAAGCAACUGGCAAAGAAUGCCCAGCCUGCCUGUUCAGACAUAACCAAUUAAAACAAAAAAGGAAGAUGAAACAAACAAAAAAAAAUCAAUAAAUGAAGAAAAUAAUUACUGAAUCUCCUGAAGGCAGCAGACAACAUCAAAACACAUUAAAAAAAAAAAAAAAAAAAGAACAGGAUGGUUCCAGUAGAUGUCCAAAGUAAAACACCAGAUGACCUCCCAGUAGAAGAAAAGGCAUUGGAACUACCUAAAUCUCUAAUAUUCAGGAAUAUCCAAGAAUUGAAGGAAAAAACAGGCAAAAUGAGAAAAAAAUUGGUAAAAUCAGGGAAAAAAACAGACAAUGGAAGAAUUCAGGGAAAUAAUAUAGGAACAAAAUGUCAAAAUAAAUUCACAGCUAGAAAUCAUACAAAAACAGCAAUUAGAAACCCAAAAGGUAAACAACAAGAUUUCAGAAAUGGACAGUGCCAUAUAAGGUUUGAGGAGGAGGUUUGAAACAAUGGGACACAGGAUCAGUGAAAUUGAAGACAAAUCCUCAGAUACUACUUUUUUUUUGAGGAAAAAUCAGAGAAAAGAAUGAAGAAAAAUGAAGAAACCCUGAGAACGACGUGGGAUACAAUCAAAGGCAAAAAUUUCCAAGUGAUGGGAGUUUCAGAACAGGGGUAGAAAAUGACAAACACAAAGAGGAUCAUUGAAGAAUUCCUGACAGAAAACUUCCCUAAAAUCAUGAAAGAUGAAAAGCUGACCAUCCAAGAAGCUCAACAACCCCACAUAGGAGAGACCACAAAAGACAAUCGCUAACGCAUGUCAUAAUCACACUCACUAAAGCCAAAGAAAGAAUCCUGAGAGCAGCUUGAGAAAAACAAAAAGUCACAUGGAGAGGGGAAACUAUAAGACUAAACUCUGAUUACUUGGCAGAAGCCAUGCAGGCAAGAAGGCAAAGGGAUGACAUAUAUAAAAUCUUGAAAGAAAAAAAUUGCCAGCCAAGAAUAAUAUGUCCUGCAAAACUCUCGCUCAAAUAUGAUGUGAAAUUACCAUUUUCCAGAUAAACAAAAAUUAAGGGAAUAUGUAAAAACCAAACCAAACUGACAAGAAUUAUUAAGGGAGUCCUUCAGUUAGAGAACCCACAAUAUCUGAUGACAGCCUGAAUCUAAGAUGCGAGAUUGCAUUAGCCAGAUGCCAACUAAGUAAUGAACUCUCAAGGAUUAAUCAAAACUAAAAUAUUUACUUCAGGGAACCAGAGAGGUUCAUCUGUAAAUGACAAUGUCAGAACAAUAAAACAGGGAAUAAACUAUAUGCAUAUACAACUUUCAAAUGGAGAGGAAGUCAAGGCGAUACCAAGUAAUAGAAGACUGGUUCAAACUCAGGAAGAUAUGGGUAAAUUUCAAGGUAACCACAAAGAAAGUUAACAAACAUACUCAUCAGAAUAAAGAAAAACAAAGUCUUAGUAAACACAAAAUCUACAAAAACAAAAGAAAUGAAAAAAAAUCCACACACAAAAAAAAGGAAUUCAGCACAGGAGCGUAAAAGGAACAAAGAAAACAUCAGCACCAAAAAAAAAAAAAAAAAGAGCACUACAAAGUGACAGCAACAAACUCAAACCUAUUGGUAAUUCCACUGAACAUAAAUGGCCUGAAUGCACCCAUAAAGACAGAGAGUGACAGAAUGGAUGAGAAAAACAGGAUUCAUCAAUAUACUGUCUACAAGAGACACACCUUAGAAGAAAGACAUAAAUUUAUUAAAAAUCAAAAGAUGGAAACAUAUAUAUAUAUAUCAAACAAAUAGCCACCCAAAAAGAGCAGUAGUGGCAAUACUAAUCUUAGAUAAAAUAGACUUUGAUACACAAUCCACCAUAAAAGAAAAAAAAAAAAAGAA